UACGGAGGGUGCAAGCGUUGUUCGGAAUUACUGGGCGUAAAGGGCGCGUAGGCGGCCCGCUAAGUCGAACGUGAAAUCCCCGGGCUCAACCCGGGAACUGCGUCCGAUACUGGUGGGCUCGAAUCCGGGAGAGGGAUGCGGAAUUCCAGGUGUAGCGGUGAAAUGCGUAGAUAUCUGGAGGAACACCGGUGGCGAAGGCGGCAUCCCCGGACCGGUAUUGACGCUGAGGCGCGAAAGCCAGGGGAGCAAACGGGG
rnacentral:rRNA from 1 species